AUUCUUCAAAUACAAUUGCCUUUCCCAUCGGAUCUAAACCCUGGUCUUGGUGGUCAUAAAAGGAGGAAUAGUAGUACUGAAACUGUGCUCGUGGUGUGUGCUGUACAGCACGUGGGCUAGUUUCAGACAAGG
ensembl:snoRNA